GACGAACGCUGGCGGCGUGCUUAACACAUGCAAGUCGAACGGAGAAGCCCUGCUUUGGGGGGAUGCGCGGGGAGCGAGCGAGUGAGUAACACGUGAGUAGCCCGCACUUGACGGUGAGCUACCUUCAGGAAACUGGAGUUCAUACCGGAACGGAGGUCCGGCUGCAUGGGGGGGGGUGGAAAGUUUCGGCGGGUGGGGAUGGACCCGCGGCUUAUCAGCUUGUUGGUGGGGUAGUGGCUUACCAAGGCUUCGACGGGUAGCCGGCCUGAGAGGGUGACCGGCCACAUUGGGACUGAGACACGGCCCAGACUCCUACGGGAGGCAGCAGUGGGGAAUAUUGCGCAAUGGGCGGAAGCCUGACGCAGCAACGCCGCGUGCGGGAUGACGGCCUUCGGGUUGUAAACCGCUUUCGGCUGUGACGAAGCGUGAGUGACGGUAAUUGGUAAAGAAGCACCGGCUAACUACGUG
rnacentral:rRNA from 1 species